rnacentral:rRNA from 1 species
AGAGUUUGAUCAUGGCUCAGAACGAACGCUGGCGGCAGGCUUAACACAUGCAAGUCGAACGCGUGUAGCAAUACACGAGUGGCGCACGGGUGAGUAACGCGUGGAUAUCUGCCUUUUGGUCGGAAUAACUCCGGGAAACUGGAGCUAAUACCGGAUGGUUCCUACGGGAUAAAGAUUUAUCGCCAAAAGAUGAGUCCGCGUACGAUUAGCUAGUUGGUGAGGUAAUGGCUCACCAAGGCGACGAUCGUUAGCUGGUCUGAGAGGACGAUCAGCCACACUGGGACUGAGACACGGCCCAGACUCCUACGGGAGGCAGCAGUGGGGAAUAUUGGACAAUGGGGGCAACCCUGAUCCAGCCAUGCCGCGUGAGUGAUGAAGGCCUUCGGGUUGUAAAGCUCUUUUGGCGGGGACGAUGAUGACGGUACCCGCAGAAUAAGCCCCGGCUAACUUCGUG